UGGAGGUAAACGCUGUGAACUGAAACAUCUCAUUAGCAGCAGGAAUAUAAAGAAAUUUCGAUUCCCUAAGUAGCGGCGAGCGAACGGGGAACAGCCCAAACCAAAGUGCUUGCACUUUGGGGUUGUAGGACUGAACAUUUGAGUUACCAAAGAACUUGAUAGUCGAAGGAUUUGGGAAAAUCCGCCAUAGAUGGUGAUAGCCCAGUAGAUUAAAUCAAAUUCUCUCAGUUCAGGAUCCUGAGUACGGCGGAACACGUGAAAUUCCGUCGGAAUCCGGGAGGACCAUCUCCCAAGGCUAAAUACUACCUAGUGACCGAUAGUGAACCAGUACCGUGAGGGAAAGGUGAAAAGCACCCCGGGAGGGGAGUGAAAUAGUUCCUGAAACCAUGUGCCUACAAUAAGUCAGAGCGCGUUAAUGCGUGAUGGCGUGCCUUUUGUAGAAUGAACCGGCGAGUUAUGAUCCCGUGCAAGGUUAAGACUAAAAAGUCGGAGCCGUAGCGAAAGCGAGUCUGAAAUGGGCGUUUUGAGUACGAGGUUAUAGACCCGAAACCAGGUGACCUAUCCAUGUCCAGGUUGAAGGUGCGGUAAAACGCACUGGAGGACCGAACCCGUGUAAGUUGAAAAUUGCUGGGAUGAGGUGUGGAUAGCGGUGAAAUUCCAAACGAACUUGGAGAUAGCUGGUUCUCUCCGAAAUAGCUUUAGGGCUAGCCUCGGAAUUAGGAUCAUGGAGGUAGAGCACUAUUUGGACUAGGGGCCCGUCUUGGGUUACUGAAUUCAGAUAAACUCCGAAUGCCAUUGAUUCAUAUCCGGGAGUCAGACGAUGAGUGAUAAGAUCCACCGUCGAAAGGGGAACAGCCCAGACCAUCAGUUAAGGUCCCUAAAUGUAUGCUAAGUGGAAAAGGAUGUGGAGUUGCAUAGACAACUAGGAUGUUGGCUCAGAAGCAGCCACCAUUUAAAGAGUGCGUAAUAGCUCACUAGUCGAGUGAUCCUGCGCCGAAAAUGUACCGGGGCUAAGCAUACUACCGAAACCAUGGAUGCGACCAUUAGGUCGCGUGAUAGGAGAGCGUUCUAAGGGCGGUGAAGCAAGAUCGUGAGGACUUGUGGAGCGCUUAGAAGUGAGAAUGCCGGUAUGAGUAGCGAAAGAUAGGUGAGAAUCCUAUCCACCGAAUGACUAAGGUUUCCUGGGGAAGGCUCGUCCUCCCAGGGUUAGUCGGGACCUAAGUCGAGGCCGAGAGGCGUAGACGAUGGAUAACAGGUUGAGAUUCCUGUACUAGUUAAGUGCGUUUGAGCAAUGGAGGGACGCAGGAGGCUAAGAUGUGCAUUCUGUUGGAUUAGAAUGUCCAAGCAGUAAGUCUUGUGAAGAGUCAAAUGCUUUUCACUUUAAGGACAAGCUGUGAUGGGGAGCGAAAUUUAGUAGCGAAGCGUCUGAUGUCACACUGCCGAGAAAAGCUUCUAGUGAGUACUUAACUACCCGUACCGCAAACCGACACAGGUAGUCGAGGAGAGAAUCCUAAGGUGAGCGAGUGAACUCUCGUUAAGGAACUCGGCAAAAUGACCCCGUAACUUCGGGAGAAGGGGUGCUGAUCGCAAGAUCAGCCGCAGUGAAUAGGCCCAGGCGACUGUUUAUCAAAAACACAGGUCUCUGCAAAAUCGUAAGAUGACGUAUAGGGGCUGACGCCUGCCCGGUGCUGGAAGGUUAAAAGGAUGGGUUAGCUUCGGCGAAGCUCAGAAUUGAAGCCCCAGUAAACGGCGGCCGUAACUAUAACGGUCCUAAGGUAGCGAAAUUCCUUGUCGGGUAAGUUCCGACCCGCACGAAAGGCGUAACGAUCUGGGCACUGUCUCAACGAGAGACUCGGUGAAAUUAUAUUGUCCGUGAAGAUGCGGACUACCCGCGACAGGACGGAAAGACCCCAUGGAGCUUUACUGUAGCUUGAUAUUGAGUGUUUGUACAGCUUGUACAGGAUAGGUAGGAGCCAUAGAAACCGGAACGCUAGUUUCGGUGGAGGCGUUGGUGGGAUACUACCCUCGCUGUAUGACCACUCUAACCCGCACCACUAAUCGUGGUGGGAGACAGUGUCAGGUGGGCAGUUUGACUGGGGCGGUCGCCUCCUAAAAAGUAACGGAGGCGCCCAAAGGUUCCCUCAGAAUGGUUGGAAAUCAUUCGCAGAGUGUAAAGGCACAAGGGAGCUUGACUGCGAGACAGACAGGUCGAGCAGGGACGAAAGUCGGGCUUAGUGAUCCGGUGGUACCGUAUGGAAGGGCCAUCGCUCAACGGAUAAAAGCUACCCUGGGGAUAACAGGCUUAUCUCCCCCAAGAGUCCACAUCGACGGGGAGGUUUGGCACCUCGAUGUCGGCUCAUCGCAUCCUGGGGCUGUAGUCGGUCCCAAGGGUUGGGCUGUUCGCCCAUUAAAGCGGUACGCGAGCUGGGUUCAGAACGUCGUGAGACAGUUCGGUCCCUAUCCGUCGCGGGCGUAGGAAAUUUGAGAGGACCUGUCCUUAGUACGAGAGGACCGGGAUGGACAUACCUCUGGUGUACCAGUUGUGCCGCCAGGCGCAUCGCUGGGUAGCUACGUAUGGAUGUGAUAAACGCUGAAAGCAUCUAAGUGUGAAACACACCUCGAGAUGAGAUUUCCCAUUCCUUUAUGGAAGUAAGACCCCUGAAAGAUGAUCAGGUAGAUAGGUUAGAAGUGGCAGUGCGGUGACGCAUGAAGCGGACUAAUACUAAUCGGUCGAGGACUUAACCAA
rnacentral:rRNA from 1 species